rnacentral:rRNA from 1 species
AUGAAUGAGGUAAUCUUGAUCUUGAAGCUGGAAAUUAUGCAAUUAGCUGCACGCAUUAUGCAAGCAACCCAAGAAUUGGAGGAAGUAAGAAUGUUGCAUUUGAAGACGGGGGAGGUCCUGCUGUUUCUGCUAUCUGAAGCCCAGGUAGGCCACAUUGAACAUAUAAACGCUCCUAGACUACCCGCCAACCUGAGGCCUCCGCGCGCGACGCUGGUUGGGCCGUGCGAUCUUUCUACUGUGCUCUUUUUUGACUGCCGGCACUUGGAUCAAACCCUAGACCGAAGGGGUAAAAAGAAGCAACGCAGCCGGCUCCUCUCUCCCCGCUCGUCUCCUCCUCUCCCCCACGCCGCCCCUCCUCUCCCCGCUCGUCUCCUCCUCUCCUCUUCCCUCGACGCCGACUCCUCGCUGGCCUCCGCCUUCCCUCUCCGCGUCACCCCCGCAAUCCUUGCCGCCGCCUCCUCUCCUGCCGCCGCCACCUCGGCCUCGUCUCCUCUGUGCUGCCUCCUCCUCUCCACUUCUCUCCGCCACCGCAUGGCCGCCGCCGCUCGCGUGCACUACGUCGAUGUGGACGGAGCGCGGGACAAGGUGACGGUGACUGGCACGGCGAGCCAGAAGAACGUGCUGCGCGCGGCGCACGGGGAAGCUCGCCCACUACCCUCCUCCACUUGUUCUCGUCUCGGUCAGGCUGGUGACCAGUGCCAGCACCGCUGCCACAUGUCGCCCACGCCCCUCCUCCGCUCGCUCUCGUCUCGGUCAGGCUGGGGUACGUCUACUACUUGUGCUGCUGCUAGAUGUGUGAUGUUGGUUGUAUACUUGUAUAUGUGUUCAAUGUUGUUGGGUGCUGCUGGUUCUACUACUACCUGUGCUGCUGAUGUUCAUUCCAUUGGAGCUGAGUCUCCUUGCCGGCGACCUUGCCAUCAAUUGCCUAUCUGCAGGUACGAUAGCUCCUCCUCCCCCUCUCUUCAAGGAGAGGUGGCUAUGAAACUUGUUCCUAACGAAGAUAAAUUUAUGGAGGUGGUUAGGGGAACAGGAGGAGCAAGUUUGGCCUGGCAGGUGCUUCUCAGGUUCGAUGGCUUCCAGCAACAUCAAGAUCAUAGUGCUUUCCUCUUAGCUCAAAAUCUACAUGUUGUCGAUUCGAUAAGAGAAGGCAAGGAGCUGUCCGCGAUCAGUGUAUUUCCCAUCGGUACAUCAAGGUGUGAUCAUCUGCAAGGCCGAAUUAUGCCAUUGUUGAUGGUGCACAGUGAAUUCAUGGAUGAGAUGGACGAAUUUCUAUUGUGUGGGCUGGAGGUUCUUGAGGGUAGAAUAGGAUGGGAGGAGGGGACGUGCGCUCCAUAUUUUGUUAUGCACACCUUCCUAAACUAUACUUUUCUUCUUAACAUAUGUUCAUUGUCCGGUAGAAGCUGUAGAUUUCAGCAUACACCGUGCUACCGGCUGGGCAUCUUCAUCCUGAGCCGUGUCCAGAACAAGACCAGUAGGGGCACCCUGAGCGAGUACUCGAGGCAUGCUGUCAAGUUGGAUGAGUGCAACCAGGCGAGUUGCCGUAUUUACAUAGAGAUGCCUCGAGCAUAUGGAGGGAGCAAGAUAAGGGGCUUUGACAGUGUCUUCACACCGCCUCAGAGGGGGUGCCACCGAGGGCUUUCUCAUGGAACGCGGUGCAAGGUGGUUUUACGGUGCACUAGGGGAGCAUGGAACGUGGUGCACUGGGGGUGCCACUGA